rnacentral:lncRNA from 1 species
CUGCUUCAACCUGCCCAUUGGCUUGAGCAUAGUAAGGUGUCGAAGUAAGGAGUUUAAGACCUGUUUCUUGUGCAAAUUUCUGCAUGUUUUUACCAGUGAACACAGAUCCUUGAUCUGUUGUUAUUGUCUCAGGUAUCCCAAAUCUGUAAAUUAUGUAUUUUUGGAUAAAGUCUAUGACUGCUUCUUGAUCCACAUUUACCAAUGAUAUAGCUUCAAUCCAUUUAGUGAAAUAGUCUAUCCCAACCAAAAUGUACCUUUGUCCUUUUGAAGAGGCUGGUCGAAUUUCCCCAAUCAAGUCUAAAGCCCAUCCUCUAAAUGGCCAAGGCUUUAUAAUUGAAUGCAGCUCACUUGCAGGAACAUGAGGUAUGCCCGCAUGUACUUGACACUCCUGACAUCCUUUUGCAAAUUCGACACAAUCUUUCAGCAUUGUUGGCCAAUACAUUCCUUGUCGAAAUAAUAACCACUUCAUUUUGUGACCUGCUUGGUGUGCGCCACACGCUCCACUGUGUACAUUCGACAAGGCUAUGUAGGCUUCGUCUUCACCUAAGCAUUUCAACAAGACUCCUUCUGCAGUCUUUUUGAACAAUUCAUUUCCCAAAAGUACAUAACUCAAAGCUCUGUAUUUUAUCUUUCUUUCUGCUUUCUGAUUUGGGUCUUGUAGAUAAUUCUUGAUAGGCUUUCUCCAGUCUGUAAUUCCUGAAUCAUCUAUGUUGAAUAUCUCAAAGUUUUCUUCGUCACCGUAUCCUAAUCUUAUUGACUCUAGAUCUGAUGGGGACAACUUGGUGGAUACGACUCUUCCUCUGACUUCAAUGGCUUCUUCUAACUUUUCCUUCGACACUUUAUAUCCAGAUGCUAGUUGAGCAAGAUCGUUCGCUUCUUGAUUCUCCAACCUGGGAAUGUGUCUGAAGACCACAUUGUCGAACUCCUUGAGAAGUCUAUUGGCUAUUACAAAGUACAUGAUUAAAUUUUCUUUCACGCAUUUAUACUCUUUAGUCAACUGCUUUAUCACCAGUUCGGAGUCGCCCAUUAUUUCGACUCUUGUUGCCCCCAAUUUCAACAAGAUUUCAAGUCCAGCGAUCAAAGCUUCAUAUUCUGCUUCAUUAUUUGAACACAGACUUUCAACUUUGUACUUGAAUUUUGUUGGAAUUCUGUCAGGAGAAAUAAUCAACAUCCCAACGCCAGUUCCAUUUUUAUGACUGGAACCGUCGAAAUACAGUUUCCAAGGUUCUAAUUUGACAUAUUCCACAUCUUCGUUUAUAGAGUGGUCGGCUAUGAAAUCAGCGACCACUUGUCCUUUCACAGCUUUUAAAGGCAGAUAUUUCAAGGAGUAUUCCGUUAAUGCUAAAGCCCAUUUUCCAAUUCGACUAUGUAAAAUAGAUUUAGAUAACAUAUACUUUAUUACGUCGAAAUGGGAGGAAAUAUAUACAUCAACAGGUUUUAUGUAAUGCUUCAAUUUCAUACAAGAGAAGUAUACACAUAGACAUAGCUUUUCUAUAAUACUAUAUCUAGUUUCAGCAUCGUUCAGGACUCUACUGAGAUAAUAAAUGGCUCUUUCGACGCCAUUCUCAUCUUCUUGACACAACAUACUUCCUAAUGUUUUGUCUGAUGCCAAAAUGUACAAUCUCAUACUUCUUUUUCUGCAAGGAGACAUCAGGAUUGGGGGACUAGCCAGGUAUUCCUUGAUUUUGUCAAAGGCCGCUUGUUGUUCUUGCCCCCAUGCGAAGUCUUCCUUCUUUAGUCGAAGUAGAGGAGAGAAAGCUUGUGUCUUCCCACUGAGAUUGGAGAUGAAUCUUCUGAGAAAGUUGAUUUUCCCUAGCAGAGACUGCAACCCCUUUUUGGUUGAUGGCGCUUUCGCNNNNNNNNNNNNNNNNNNNNNNNNNNNNNNNNNNNNNNNNNNNNNNNNNNNNNNNNNNNNNNNNNNNNNNNNNNNNNNNNNNNNNNNNNNNNNNNNNNNNNNNNNNNNNNNNNNNNNNNNNNNNNNNNNNNNNNNNNNNNNNNNNNNNNNNNNNNNNNNNNNNNNNNNNNNNNNNNNNNNNNNNNNNNNNNNNNNNNNNNNNNNNNNNNNNNNNNNNNNNNNNNNNNNNNNNNNNNNNNNNNNNNNNNNNNNNNNNNNNNNNNNNNNNNNNNNNNNNNNNNNNNNNNNNNNNNNNNNNNNNNNNNNNNNNNNNNNNNNNNNNNNNNNNNNNNNNNNNNNNNNNNNNNNNNNNNNNNNNNNNNNNNNNNNNNNNNNNNNNNNNNNNNNNNNNNNNNNNNNNNNNNNNNNNNNNNNNNNNNNNNNNNNNNNNNNNNNNNNNNNNNNNNNNNNNNNNNNNNNNNNNNNNNNNNNNNNNNNNNNNNNNNNNNNNNNNNNNNNNNNNNNNNNNNNNNNNNNNNNNNNNNNNNNNNNNNNNNNNNNNNNNNNNNNNNNNNNNNNNNNNNNNNNNNNNNNNNNNNNNNNNNNNNNCGUCUUCGACCUCCAUAACUCUAUCAUAGUCUCUAGGGAGAACAGAGACCACGUUGCAGAUCACAUUGAAGGAUGCUUCUGAGUCAAAUUCGAAGUUGUCAGUUAUUUCGUCAUCUUCCUGCAUCUUCUCUUUCGACGUCACGGGUUCGACAAUGCUGCCAGGAUUGAUCUGGAGGGAGGCCUCUUUUCUUCUCCUUAUCUGACGAUUGUUACUAGACUCCGCUUUAUCUUUGCUGUCAGUGUCUUUUUCAUUCACGCUCUUUUCUGCAGCCUCUUUUUCUGCCCUCUUCUGUCUCUGGAAUAUCCUCCAUUGGGAUCUGGACAUGGGGUUUUUGCCUUUGUAAUUCUCUGAAGGAUAUGGUCUUGGCUUGUGCUUUUCCAUUUCCUUCUUGCCUUCCAUCGAAGCGCCUCUCUGAACCUCAAACUUUCCCCAUUUUUUCUGCCCCUGGGCAUCUCUAAUGGGUUGAACCCAUUUGUCAUCCGUUGCUUUGCCAGAUGGUUUAUAGGUGUUCUGGCGUCUUUCUCCAUGCCUCCACUGGUGGUGAUCACUUCUCCUUGGGUCAUAUCUUACUGUUUCCCAAUUCUCUUUCCUCUUGGCUUUAUCCAUUGCCUCCAGGUUGGUUGCUGCCUUCCUGUCAAAAAUCGCACUACAGCGUGGGUACAUCAUUACUUCGGUUUUCAUCCUUUGGCACCUCUUGAUGAAUUCUAUUAGAUUUUCCUCCUCUUUAGGAUACGCCAGCCUCUGGUGCUCCUUUCGACGAUGAUCUCGCCCACUUCGGCCUGGUCCCUCUGAAAUAUUUCCACCAUGUUUACCCUAACAUUUCGUUCGUCAGCGAUGCUUAAUUCGUUCAUCUUUCUAAUGAGUCUCUCCUCUUCGCCUUCGACGCCUUCUGGUGUUUGGUCGAACUCUUUCUCUGGGCAGCAACACCAAGAUAUGUUCUUGGGACCAUGUUUGCAACAAUAUUUGUUCCAAUUCCUUUUGGGGUCUUCCAUCACCCUACGCAGAAUUCCACUGACCACGGGCUUCAAAGGACCAUUAACAGCUUCCGCUUUGAUUUUUGUGAGUUCUUCACUGAAAGGCCCCAUAGUGUUGACGCAGUUUGCGACAUCACUUGUCCUUGUUUGAUCAAGAUCAAGGCCUUCAGUAGCCUUGUUUUCAAUAAUGAGGUCUUCAGUAACCUUCUUUUUCGUAAUAGGGGAAUGCUCAAUUGCCUCAACUGUUUCUUCAUUUUUGACUGAAGAAACAUCUCCCCAACCGCUUGGUUGGAUUGUGUUGAUGUCGAUCUGAGAGCUUGCCGGCGCAUUGUACUUCACAAGAUAAUCAUACUUCCCACUUGGCUGUCCCAAGCGGUCCCAAUUUCCCUCUUGUCGAAACUUCGCAUCUUCGACGGUAUCGUCACCGUCCCUUUUGUCGAAACCUUUAGUAGUUUCCAUCCUUUUCUGGUUGUCGAAGCCUUUCAGUAACUUUCAACUUCGUUCUGGUUUGUGAGAUUCAUAGUAAUCUCAACCAUGUUGAUGUUUGUGUCGAAACUUCCAGGGGCCUCCACCCUUUCAAUUGCAUUAGGAGCAAACUUCGAUUCCCACCAUGUUCACGAUGGAUGGUUCAGCGUAGUGGGCUUUCGACUGGCUGCAUGGGAUUCGAAUCGAUCCUCAUCUGUGUUUCGGCUUGUCACCAAAACUUUAGCCUUCCGUCACGGAUAGCAUUUGAACGAGAUCCAUGAAAAGGAACAACGAGACGUUUUAUGGCCUUAGAAAUUAUGUAUUUACAAAACCUCUCUUUUUCUGUUGUUCCAUAGGCGCGUUCUUAGCGCCUGGAGGUUUUUUAAAUUGACCAUCUUUAACCAACAGAUCGAAAUUCGUUCGCAUUUUGUGAUGUCGAACGUAUAAGUCCUUUUGGGGAACUUAUCGUUGGUUUCGACUGGGUUUCUGUUCCGACGGAGUUAGCACUUUUGCACGAAUAAGGUGGGCCUUGCUUCAGUUCUGCUAUGUCAAUCUCUUGUUCGUCGAAGUUUAUUUGGUUCGUUUCGUCGUACUCAUCAUUCUUGCGCGAACCCCUACGUAGGCCACCCUUUCUUUUUAUUCUUUAUUUGCUCUGAAUUUUUCGUCCUUAACCUUUCGACCUGUCUCACUCUAUCUGCUAAUUUGUGCCAUAUCCCUCAGAUACUGGGUAUCUAGUUUCUUCCUUAUAGAAUAAUCUAGUCCCCCUGCUGGCCAUUUCGACCAACUCAUGUUCUGGGCACCGGGUGAAACAUCUAGCCUUUAGCAAUCUGAACCUAUUUAAAAUAAUCAUCUAUUGGUUCUGAGUGUUUUUCUCUUAACACUGGCUAAUUCUUUCAGACUUAUUUUUGUUUGUCCCAUGUAGAAUUGUCCACGUAUAUUACUGAGUUUGCAGGCAAAAGAUGUAAACCAAGUAAACGCGUUUUUUGUUUAAGAACUAGGGAAUAUUUUAUUUUCAAAUUUUCAUUACGGGCUAUUUCCCCUGCUUCGAUCAGAUAACGUGCUACGUGUUCUAUUGUGGACUCGCUAGUAUCCCUGAGAACUUUUGUAACUUAGGAACUUUCCACCUUGGUGGCAGUUCUUCUUGUAGAAUAUAUUCUGACAGUGGGGAAGCAUAACUAGGCUUUGUAAUCCCAUGUUCAUCCCAUUCUGUGCCAUUACCGUUUCGACCAUGGCGCUAAAUUAUUUUCGAACAGGAGGGUUAUUUAUACCGGAUCCGCUGUUGCAACACAGCAUCCGCGUCCUGGCUCUGGAUUACUAUCCUUCUAGGUUCUUGUGAAAUAGGGACUUCGACACGAGGCUGUUCGACUACAUCCUCUUGGUUUCUGACGUUUGUUGAGGAUUGUCUAAAGGCAUUUGGUUUAUCGUAGCUUCUUCCUGGACCGCCUACCACUGGGUUCUGAACCAUUGUUCUCUGUGUUGAGUUUGAGGGACCCCGAAAAAGUCAGCAAUGCGCGUCAUCUGCGCUGCCAACAAUUGGUUUGUUUGGGUGGUGUUUUGAAUUAGAGGAUUAAACACCGCUCCCAUUUGUUGUGUCAACAUUUGGACCAUAUCAUGAUUACUCUCGUCCAUCUGUUGUCUAAUCACCUGCGCCGAAUUAUUUGUUAUCGGCGGCAUGUAAAGUGGUUGUUGAUUUAGUCUACUCAUGUUUCCGCCAUAUCCUGACCCUUCUAAUGGUGAAGACAUAUUGGCCAUAGAAUCAGAAUACACUACCGGGGAAUUGUGUAGAUUUGCCAUUACUGAAGUUGGCAUUCCAAAUGGUUGUUCCCUACCAGGAAGAGGCAUGGUGAAAUUCGUCACAAAAGGCCUAGAAGUGUUUCCCAUAGGAGGGGGUGUCCCAACAGGCAUUUGUUGCGCCCUAACGGACGAACUAGGCGCAUUUUGCAAAAUUGAAACCGCUGGUAUUGACCCUGUUGACGAAGGCAUAGCCUCUGACACAGGGACUGAUCCUACAUUGCCUCUCGUCGAAAGGAUAGGGUUGGAUACUGGUAUGGCUUCACUUGGAUUAGGAUUAUUUGGAUUAUUUGGCUGAUUUGCCAUUUUCCUUACUCUUGUUCUUUUAGGUAUUUCUACGUCGGAUACGGCUAAUUUUCCGCUUCUCAGUCUCAUACAACGAAAAAAAAAACUUUGACUAACGAUUAUCUAAGUUUUAGAUUUCUGCACUGUCCCACUAGGCGUGCCAAUUUGUUCGCUGUGAAUUUUGGCGAACAACCUCUGGUUUACCAAAACUUGUAGAACUGGGUUACUUGCAGGAUCAACCACACAAAUCCUAGGACAUGUGCAGAUCUAAAUGACUUUGAAGAUAUCUAGAACAACUUUCAUAUCUUUCAUUUUGGUUCUCAAAAUAUUUUAUGUCGAAAGAUGUUGAUUAAACGUUCAAACAGAUGUAAAUUUGACAAGAUAAGAUGAAUGGCAGAAAAUAACUAACGAAAUAUAAAGUGUCGAACAGAAAGUGCAGAAAGAUAAUUGACUGGAAAACGUAAAAGGAAUUUGUACAGAACUUUAAACUUUAUAAAAUAAACUUUGAAGGAGUUGGUGUUUGUUUACACAUACAUGUUCCAAAUAUGACUCUUUUCUCUCACACGGGUACUUUGAGUAUUAUCAGGAAUUUUGUACAAGUAAAUUUUCACACCUUUUUUCGAUAACAACUACCCUAUUUAUAUACAAAUAACAUAACUGUUACUAACGACCAAAUCCUAAAACUGUGACAAAUGGCUUUCUUCUUUUCGCCAGAUGCUUCCACGCGUAUACUAACGACCAAAUCCUAAAACUGUGACAAAUGGCUUUCUUCUUUUCGCCAGAUGCUUCCACGCGUCUUCUGCCAAACGUCACAACUCUUCUGAAUUUGAAUAUUUACACUUUACGUCGAAAUGACAUCUCUCUCCAGACUUUGUCGAAUUGUCGAAAUACUACAACAUCCUCCAUGUCUGUCAAAGGUGCCUUUCCAUCUGCAUAGAUCUUGUCGAAAUGUCGAAGCUUCAAUUUUGUCGAAGUGUCGAACAACACUUAUCAACUAAAACCGUUUAUCCCAUGUCAUCAUUUUUCGAAAGAACCAUUCUGCAUACCAAAUCUCAUGGCGUCGAAAACGCAUGUAUACACUUACUCGCUUAAUAUUAUUCAUCAUUUACUUUAUUGCCUUGUGUUUUUGCAUGUUCUAUUAUACUGGAUAUCUAUAUAUGUUGUUUUUGGGUUGGGGUUGAUACUACAUGAGUGAAGCUCUAUACCCGAGCUUAGUAUACACACAUGAUAGAUUCGUGGAUAGUCAUGUACAAUUGCGUUUCACGCGUUGGAUUGUCUCGAGAGCCAAAACCAGACUAGAUUCACUUGGAAGUACUUUUGUCCUGUGAGAAUUCACUACGGCAUGGUAUUUUCAUUUCGAGUCGAUGACUCUGGGAGACCUUCUAGGGACCACCUUGGAGGAUAGUCCAUACCUGUGGGGGGGAUAUAUGUUUUUUUAUAGGAAACCAUAGACUCUACAUACCUUGGUUCUCAUAUUGUGUUGAACCUUUGAACUUACAACAAACAGCAUAUACAGAUUAUUCAGAAUGUAUCAGAACUUUGAAUCCGUGUGAUCUAUAUCAUACCAUUAUCCAUUAUCAUUCAUCAUGACAAUUUUUUUACAUAUGCCUUUUUUUCAUGAAUCCAAGAGCCCAGUUUAUUGACUAAGCAUCCAAGACAAAGCAUGACUUCCGAAAGAAAGACCAUUCACAGUUAAAAGCUCGUGGAGCCAUAGUUGAAUGUUUUGAGAGGAUUGGGGGCACGUCUAGUUCUUGGGAACAGAGAUGAAUUCAAGAACUCUUAUGGCAACCUCCUAGGAAUUUUGAAUACUGAAGUCAGUACCAAGGUUGUGCACACCCUUGUGCAAUUCUAUGACCCUCUGCUGAGAUAUUUUACCUUUCAGGACUAUUAGUUAACACCUACUUUGGAGGAGUACUCUCAUAUUUUGGGUAUUGGGAUUAAGAAUCAAGUUCUUUAUGUCUGCACUAAGGAGCUCCCUAAGUACCAUAUCCUCGUUGAAACCCUUCACAUAGGGAAGAAGGAAGUGGAGUUGAACCUAGAGCUUAAAGGUGGAAUCCAUGGUUUUACCUCAAAGUUUCUUGUGGAUAAGGAUAUUACCUUCACCGAUGCAGAGAGUUGGACGGAUUUCAAUUCCAUUCCAGGUCUACUUAUCUAUGGCGUAUUGUUUCCAAAUAUGGAAGAAUUUAUGGACUUCGCUACUAUCCAUAUCUUCCUAACUCAGAAUCUUGUUUCCAUUAAUCUUGCUGACACUUACUACUUCAUUCAUGUAAGGACUCAGAAGAAGAAGGGAACCAUCAUUUUCUAUAUCCCUUUGUUGUAUAGAUGGUUUAUUUUGCAUCUACCUAGCAAGGGCUCUUUCUUGGAGAACAAAGACAAUCUGAAGUGGUCCCAAAGGAUCAUGUCCUUAAACACCGAAGAUAUUUCCUGGUACUCUAGAGUUUAUGAUAAUGUCAAACUCAUCCUUAAUUGUGGUGACUUCCCUAAUGUACCUCUUCUUGGUACAAAAGGAGGAAUCAACUACAACCUGAGAUUGGCAUUACAAAGUUGGAAUACUCCAUGGUAGACAAGCCUGAUUCCAAGACUGUAGAAGGUUUAAUUUUACAUGAAGGGGUUAAUAACCUGUAGCUACUUAAGAAGAUUAUCAAGGCUUGAGGAGAGAUAUAUCCUCAAAGAAGAGAAGAAAUGGGUAAGAAGAGCUGCAUAGCCAGGGAAGCUUAUACCAAAUGGGUGAAAGACAGAGUCAAAGAGAUAUUGCUGCCAUUUCUAUCAGAACAAUCUAUCAGCAUCAAGCCUCAUGAACCUAUGAUUAAUCAUAUCUCUAAGGUCUAUGAGCUGAAGGGAAUUAUCAUGGCACUAGAGAAAGAGAAUGCGGAUCUCAAAUCUAGUCUUGGUAAGAUGUCAUUGGAUAAGGAGACCUUAAAGUUCAACCUGAAUCAGAAGAGAGAUAGAACACUUCAAGCAGAAAAUGGGGUGCAAGCUAAGUUGCACAAAAGAAGAAAAGUGGAUGAAGCACUAAAAGGAACUUGUGCUAGUUUGUUAGCAAAAAAGAAUAAGCUAGAAGAAAUUCAAUAUUAGGCUUGUAAAGUGGAUCUUAACUACAAAAAGAAAAUCAAGAAACUUCAAGACUAACUGGAAGCUUGCAAGAAAGGGUUGAAAGAUGAACAAAGUCGUGUCAAACAACUAGAGGUUACUCUUCAUCAGUGCUAGAGUGAGUUAGAUAAGAGGUUUGAAGAGAUUCGCGGGCUAAAGGAUCAAGCACACAAAAAUAUGGAGAGCACUAACCUACUCAAAUAAGAGAAUGCUAGUUGGGAAAGAUACAAUGGACACCUUCAAAGGCUCCUAGACUAGAAGGAGACAUUUUUGAGAGAUCUUCUAGAUGGACCUGAUCACACUUUGCUGCACAACCUUCUUAAGGACGCGGAAUAUUGGAGGGAAAGGCAUGCAUGCCUAACCCAAUUUGCUGAACAUGCCAUGGAAGACUUACCAGAAUUGUUGAAAGAAGCUUUUGUUGUAGUAUUUCCGCAUAACGUCCCUUGGGUUGUAUUUCAUUUCAUUUCUGUUUGUAGGGUGGUAUUUGAUAGGUUUAAAGUUGAGCUUAUUGUAGCCUGUCAGGCAGGCUCUUGAUGUGUAUUUGUACUCCACUUUCUGAUAUUGAAUAAAAGAGUCUCUCUCUUUAUGCUUUAUGUCUAUUUAUGUUGAUAAACAAAACUCAAGGAUUCCUUGGAAUUUUUUCUUUACAAAAAUGAAUAUAUAUGCACAUGUCAAAACUUUUUGCAUGCAUUUAUUUGCUUAAGCCUCCAGAGAACAAAAUGCUUACUCUCUCCAUCUUUCUAUAGCAACUACGAUGACUCGUCAUCGCUAUUAUACUCGUGCAAAAAAAUCCAAAUGCGUGGCUGAUUUUGAAAUCGACAAUGUUGUUGUUAAGGAAACCUUGGCUCAGGUCCAAGUAGAGAUGAACCUCUUCCGAGGUAAUAUGGUGACCAUUAUGGAAUACCUCCAAACUCAUUGGGCUUCUAUCUUUGCCAACCCUGCUUCCAUUUUCGUCACCAGUGUUGUUGUGGUGACCACUAUUGGUGAUGUCGUUGCCACUAUCAAAACUCAUGUGGAGACGGUGGUACCAACUACUGUGAAUCAGCCUUUGUUUACUUAUGCUUCUAAUAGGCUUGUUGUUGCCUGCCCAUGGGGAAUGCCCCCAAACUUCACUGCUCAUUUUGCUAAUGGGGGUGCCUUUAUUCCUCAUUUAGCUUUUAUCGCUCGUACUGCUGCUGGGAAUUUUGUUUUCCCAUGGGGUGUGCCUAUGGUCCAGACUCCUCAAACGAUUGAUGCUGCCAACUCUAAGAACCACCAAGGUCAGGUUUUGACAAUGAAGUAGAGUACUGAGGCCCCCGCCUCUAUUUUCAUAUUCCUUCCCAGGAAGUUUAUCUUGCAAAUCUGAAUCACUUACAAGCUGCUCUGUUUGCUUACUCUGGGGAAACUUUUGUUCUGAUACUAUCAUAUGCAUCUGCCAACCCUGCACUCAUGUACGUGCAGGCUAGGGAACCUCAGGCCCCUAAUGCUCAAGAUGGAUGGUAGUUCCUUCAUAUGAUGCACGAUGCUUCCCAAAUAGUGCUUCCCAGUUUCUCUUAUCCACUGCAGAUGUUGUUUACUCCCCAAAUUGUGCAUGCUCAGGAGUUUGCUCAAGACACCUCCCGACCAGCCAGCCAGGUCGUCGUUCCUACUGCUAGUCUGUCAGGCCGGCAGACUACCAAUUAUUGGAUGAUAGAAGAAUGGUUAUCGAAGGUUUCUAUGCCUUCGGCAUAAACGCAAGAGAUUUAUGCUUGGUUCCAAAUGUGGUACUCCCUCAUAAGUUCAAAGUACCAGAUUUACCAAUAUAUAAUGGAUUAAGUUAUCCUCGAAGCCACAUUACAAUGUAUUGCAGGAAAAUGGCAUCGUAUGUUGACAAUGAUGAUCUGCUAAUCCACUGUUUCCAAGAUAGUCUGUCAGGGGCUUCCUUGGACUAGUACAUGGUCUUAGAGCGUACAAAGAUUAGAUCCUAGAGAGAUUUAUCUGAAGCGUUCUUAAAGCAGUAUAAGUACAACCUCGAUAUGACACCGACAAGAUUGCAGCUACAUAAUCAGUCACAGAGGUCCAACAAGACUUUCAAAGAGUAUGCUCAAUUUUAGCGUGAAAUGGCUUAUAGGGUCAGAUCAACUUUGUCGGACAAUGAACUUGUUGACAUCUUCAUUGGUACGCUUCAAGGGUUGUACUUUGAGAAAAUGAUUGUCCAUUCUUCCACCAACUUCCCAGACAUUGUGACCAUUAGUGAACGUGUCGAAAAUGGGGUUAAAUCGGGAAAGAUCGUAGGUACCAUCGCUCAGCAAACCACAAAUAAGAAGUUGUAUGAGGGCUUUACAAAAAAGAAAGAAGGGGAGAUAAAUGUUUUAACGGUAAAUGUCCACACCCAAUAUCAAUUUCCUAUGGCUCCCAUGCCAUAUUAUCCAUACCCGUAUGUUUCCGCCACUCAGUAUCAACAACUUCCGCGUCAGUACCAACCAUAGAAUCGCAAUCAACAAACAACACCGAAUCAGAAUGCUUAGAAUCAAUAGAACACUUGUGACAAUAAGGGCCAAGGUCAAGGCCGAAAUAACAGGAAUAAUUAUGGUAAACAUCCUGAUUUUGAUCAGAUCCCUGUACCAUAUGCUGAAUUGGUGUCAUAUCUGAUCCAUGUAGGGGCUAUUAUGCCAAGGGAAAUCCCACCAUCCAUUCCUCCUUAUCAUCCAAGGCCUAAUUAUAAUGCCUUGUGCGCCUUCCAUGUUGGGUAUGUAGGACACUCCACUGAAGAUUGUUGGCCGCUCAAAAAUAAAAUCCAAUAGUUAAUUAACCAGAAGGUUUUGUCUUUCUCAGAAUAAAAUCCUAAUGUGAAAAGAAACCCCUUUCUUAAUCACGGUGACCCAGCAGUCAGUGUUGUAAUUGAAGAAGAGAUUGCAGAAUCCGUCAAGACAGUUGAUGGUGUGAAGACUCUGAUGUCGGUAGUGUUAAAAAAUCUUGAAAAUUUUGAGUUUCUGGUUGGUAUUCAUGAAGAUUUUGUUGUGUGUAAAAUCUGAUCUGGAUAGUUAUGGCAAUCUGAAGGGCUGUGUGCAAGAGUUGAUGAAUCAAAGGUUGAUAUAGUUCUCCAGAUCUAAAGUAGUUGAAGAGAUUGAAGUGAUUGAGCCUAUAACCAUUGUGUACAGGAAGAAGAAGAACGAAGCUCCUCCCAAGAGCAUUCAAUUGAUCCAUAUAUGUGUUCCUAGUCCAUUCUCGUAUCAGAAUAUCAAGGCAGUACCUUGGAAGUAUGAAACGACUGCAUAUGUGGGUGGAAAAGAAAUUAAAAUCUCUGACACUGAAAUUGUUAAUAUAACUAGAACGGGAGGCAUGACUCGUAGUGGUUGUGUAUUCACUCCAAAAUACACUCCUAGAGUGUCUCCAUCACCCACAGUUGUCCUGCCUAAAGAGAAGGUCCUUCUUAGUCCUCCUCUGCAGGCAGGGGCAUCUAUACCCGACAUGUUUAUCGUGACAACUGUUCCAGCAUUAACAAAGAUUAUUCCCGAUAAAGCUGCAUAAUCUAAAACUUCCAAGGGUAAGGGGCAGAUGGUUAAAGAUGAAUAGGUUGAAGGUCACAAGAAGAGUAUCUCUUUUGAGGAAGGACAAGAACUCCUCAAAUUGAUCGAGAAGAGUUUCUUCAAUAUUGUUGAUCAGUUGGGUAAGACUCCUUCCAAAAUCUCCAUUUUUUCUUUACUUCUGAGUUCUGAUGCUCACCGUAAAGCACUGUUAAAAGUCCUGAAUGAUGCUCAUGUGAUGCACGAUAUCACGGUCGAUCAAUUUGAUGACGUGUGUAAGACCCCAAUUUUGACCCUAAGAUCCCUCAUGAUAUACCAUCAUAUGCAUUGGCAUUGGGAUCACACCUUGACAUCCUCCUUCCCCCUCAUUCAUUGGGUUUGCAUUGAGAGAGAUCACCAAGCACCAUUUAAUUGUAUCAUACUUUGUAUUUUCUCAUUUUUACUAACCAAAAUACCAAAAAUAUGUCUUUGCAUAAUCUAACUCUUUUGUAGGUAGAGUACAUGCUCACCUUUGGUCUAUCAAGCUCACAUCUAGGGUUUAAGACCCUCAGUGCAAGGAGUUCAAUCAAGAAUUGGUAUACUAUGGCUCUAGGCAUCAUAUAUGGAUCCCCAUGAGAAUCACAUGUUAUUUUGAUCAAGAACUCAUCAAGAGUUUGGAAUUGUUUUGUAGUGGAAACACUAGUUCAUAUGGGUAUCUUGUGUAACUUCUUCAACAAUUGAUCAAAGAUUUCAAGGGAUACUUCAAAUUUCUUCAUAUUAUGAAUAUAUGAUUUCCCAUGAGUCCCUAAAGUUAAGAGAAUUGCAAGUUAGCAAGUUGGUUGAUGGUGGUUGACUAGAGGAAUUCAACUAAUCAAAAUUGGGGUUCCCUAGACCCUAUCUCCUACAAUAUUUGUCAUAUGAAAAUGAUUCCAAAAGAAACGUUACUGUAAGUGACAUUACAAACAACUUUCAUGUUGAGGUCUAGAGCUAGUUUUUCUUGGAAAGUCAUCUUUUAUGGUGAAAGAUUAUAGGUCAUUUUGUCUAAACCCUAAUUUGGAGGUCAACUUCCCAAGGUCAUAACUUGCUCAAUUAUUAUGAGAUGAAAGAUUUCCAAGUUUCACAAUCAAAUUCAAUAUGUCUACUUCAACUUUGAUGUUUGGAGGAAGAGCAAAUUCAACUUUUAUGAGCAUGUGAUAUGAGGAUACAUUAUAGGUCAUUUUGGACCAAUACCAUUGAACAAGUGAUUUUCCUCAACUUCAAAAAUGCAUACCUCCUUCAUAUCAAAUCCAAAUGAGGUAAAACUUAUAACCAUUUUGAAGUACUUUGAAAUAGAUACAACUUUGAUGAAGGAACUUCUCUCAUUUGAAACUCACACAAAAAGUUAGCCAAGGUGGAAUAAGUGAACAUAUGGCGUGACACUUAGAAAAAAAUUUGAUAUGUUAAAAUUUCCAAACUUCCACCUCAAAUUUCAUCAUUAUACAAGCUUCAAAUGGAUAAGUGUUCAACAUUAAAGUUGUUCCUAUUGAUCUAACCUUUCCAAAAAGUCCAAUUUCAUCCAUUUUGGACAAGAUUUGAAUGGGCUGCACAUGGCUUGAACAUUGUAUCAUCAUUUGGCAAAAUCAAACUUCAAACUUCCAUGUACAUUUGUCUUGCAUUCCAAGUUGAUUUUAGACUUGCUCACACUCAAUUAUGGAUCAAAUGGAAUGAUCUCAUGGGCAUGUACACGUCCAUGCACACAUGCAUCACUCAUUGCCAAUUUUGGAAACUCAAUUGUAAGGUGCAAAUAUCAUGUGAUUCAGCUAUAAAUAGAGGCUCAUAUGCUCAGAAUUAAGGACUCCUUCGCGCGAGCUUUGAUCCCAAACAUAAAACCCUUCCAUUUGAUAGGAUAAUCCUGACAAUUUCCUUUGGAAAUUGAGUUUGAAUCUCACUGUUUUGAGAUUCAAAACUCCAGGGAUCCAAGACCUUUUGUACAUUUUAAUCUACUUCUGCAAGCAUCCUAAGAAAUAUCAAGCACAAGCCAAAGCAAGAACAAGUGAAUCCAGACCUGCAUUGAAGGUAUUUUCCAGAAAAUUUCAUCUCUUCGAUUCUCACUCAAUUCUCCAUAAUUCUCUUGGAUCCUUGGUAGUCUGAAGUCCUAGCAAUAUAGGCAACAAGAUUGAGUUGCUUUGAGGUCAAAUUGAAGCAACUCAGAUCAUGCACCUCAAAUUUCAACUCCUUGUAUCUCUCAAUAUACUUGGAGUUGGGAUAAAUUGAGGCCAGAUUCGUGCUCAGUGCCAUUUUCACUUUAAAAUCAUGUCCUCUAUUUUUAUUUUAGUGAAGGUUAUGAUUGGACCAGUCCGGCGAGGCUCGCCUGAGAAGGAGACCGGAGAUUUGCUCUGGUGGUGAGUUAGCAAGGUCCAGAGCCACAUGAUCUGUUUGAUUUGUUCUAAUCACGAGUGUUGGUUUGAAUUACCAAGUUUGUGGCGCGCUGACUAGAGUCCACAAUGGAUUGCGCGUUUGUGGCCACUUGAUUUACCACCUCAAUUAAUGAAAUUUUUCUACAAGGUCCUUUAACCUUGUUUGACCUAUGAUAAAUCUCAUCGUCAUUUCUUUGGUGUCAAUUUAAUGCAUAUUUUAGUUGAUUUUAAUUGAAUAAAUGUCAAAUAAAUUGUGUUGAGCUUCUAUUAUUGACUUAUUGAGUUUGACUUGUGUUGUUGGGCCUUGGUCAAGGUUGAUUUUACUUUUCUAAGUUAAGAUCAUUGGAUUUAGGGGAAUGAUGAAAUGUACAUUUCAUCUCCCAAAAUGAAUGAAUGAUCUUAAUUUGGUAAAAGUCCUUGUUUUACCAAUUUGUGUUGAUUUCAUUCCCCCUCCCUCUUGAUCUCAUUACUCUUCUUUAUUCAUUCAUGUCAUGGACCUAUGAUAUCUCUAUAUCCUAAGGCUAGUUGAUUGCAAAAUCAACAUGAGUAUGGAUGAGAUUAGAUCCACCACACUUUUGCAUAUUCUUUUUGCGUGUGGUAUCUUUCGUGAGCAUAGUCCAUUAUAUUAUGUCUCUAACAUGCAUUAACACCAAACUUCUAUUGCCUGGUCUCAAAUAGUUGUGAAUUCUGCAUAAGUCCAAUUACGAUUGCUUAACAUAACGCUAAAUUUGUGACACAAAAGGCAUAGCAUUCUAGUAAGUAAGAUUGUAAGUCUCCCCUCUUUCAUGGUAUUGUAUGGAAACUUGGCCUUUUUUUCCUUCCUUUGGAAGAUGUCUUGGUUCAAGGAUCCAUGCAUGUGAAUAGUGGGUUGAGUGUUCUCCAAAGAAUGACUUAAACAAUACAAAGCAAAAGCAAUACUAACUUCUAAUCAACUAACAACUAACCUUUAAUUUCAAGCCAUUUACUUUUAUGCACUUUAAUUUCAAGCUUUAUUCAUUUGCCAUUAUUCAUACCGUUCAAUUUAUUUACUUUAAUGCCAUUUUCAAUUUUCCACUUGGGCCAUAAUUUGUGAUAUAUUGUGUUUGUAUAUACUUGUUUGUUUGUAUGGUCUUUUGACCUUAAUGUACAUAAUAAAAACAAAAACCCUAAAAGACAUUUGUGCGGACUGUUGGAUUUGAUCUGAGACAAUGGACUUAGAAUUAGGAAACACUCCCUAUGCAAAAGGACUUGUCCAAUGCCAACUUUCAUGAAACCAAGUGCUUGUGAAGUGAAUUUUCAACUGAAGCAAGUAUUGUGAUCCCAUCUGAGUUCAUCUGUUACAUGGUCUUAUUGAAGCUGUUACUUUGAACCUGUGUCUAAUGCCUACUUUUGGAAGUCAUCUGAUGCAUGGGAAAUUUUGAAGAAGAUCAUGGAGUUGCUAAGCUUGGAUGGGGCUAUCUUUAUUUGAUGCCUUGAUCUUCAUCUUUCUAUUUGUGUAUUGAUAUUGCUUGAUUCUAAAGUCCAAGGGAAAUUUGGGUUUCUAUAUGACAUUCUUGUCUAUUGGAUUGCAGCCCAUUGGUUAGAUAUUUUCAACUCUUAACUUUUAAAUUUGUGCUUAGGAUUAGUAUCUUCAUCUCUCCCCCAUUUAUUUAAUUUCAAAUCUCUCUCUACUUUCAAAAAUCUUCUUUGCUAGUGUUUGUUUUCUAAACUUAUACCAUUUUGCAAAUUAGAAACUUUGGCCUUAUGCCAUUGCAUUUUUAAAACUCUUUUCUUUGUCAAAUUUGUAAAUGAACUUAACUAUACUUGACUUAAAAUUUCAAAAGCGAAAAAGAACUAACACUCAUUCCAACCAUUUUUAGGCCUCUUGUGCCUUUGUUAAACUUAAAUUUUGUUAAAAGAAAUCCACUCACUUUGAAAUUGAUACCACAAACUACGAGGUUUUGAUCCCUCAUUUUAUGUUGGUACGUAGGCAUAAGUCUGAAGGUCUUAUCAAACACAAAAAUACAAUUAAUGAAUUAUUUUCUCAUCCCCCCACUCUAUUUAUUGCAAACAUCAUUUGGUACAAAAACACAUAUGCACACAAGAAAGGGCUCCCUAGGAGUACCUAGGACACUUUGGGUGCUAACACCUUCCCUCUGUGUAACCAACCCCCUUACCUGUAAUCUCUGGCAUUUUAUUAGUUUUGAUAGGGUGCUAACACCUUCCCUCUGUGUAACCAACCCCCUUACCUGUAAUCUCUGGCAUUUUAUUAGUUUUGAUUUGAAAAUUUCUUAUUUUUGGGUUUUGUUCGUACUUUUCCCUUUUCCCUUGGAAACGAUAAAAGCGCGAUGGCGACUCUGGUUUUAUUGACGUCUAGCUUAUCUAUAGCUUGAUGGUCAUGAAUUUACCGCCAUAGAAAUUAAGUGGCGACUCUACUGGGGAGUAGUCUCCAGUGGGUUUAGCCUACUUUUUCGUGUGUAUAUAAUUGUAUAUUUUGAUGUAUGUAUAUUUGUUUGUGUGAUAUAAUGUACUUGUUGUGCUUGGUGAUCUCUGAGUGGUGAAAUAAGUUCUAACAUGGACUUGAGUGAAAUUACGAUAAGAGGAUGGUAUAGUCAUGUUCGACUUGUGUGGAGUAGUCCUUAACAAGUUGGAUUGAGACCCAUCUACUCAGUGGAUACCCUUUUGGAGUUAUGAAUGUUACACAAGUUAUUUGUGGUUAGGCAUUACUUCCUCUGAUUUGGGGUCCGAGAAGUUGAGGACCGUAGAACAUUUAACCCAUCUUGGCCUAUUUAAGACGUAGUGCGGAGACUGUUCAAAUGUAGACUUGAUAAUAGUUGUCACGCGAUACUACACUCAGACGAGUUUCUCUUGAGAUAUUAUGGGUUGAUGAGUCAGUCAUCCUAACUUGUAAUAUCCGAUAGAUGGAAUUAAGACUCUGGGAACUUUUUAGAACAUGAUCUACAGGUUCUUAUCCUUAGUACACUCCUUUGGGAUGGUUCUUACCCAGACUCCAUGCUCGUGACUCACAACAAACCCUUUGAUUCUUGGUUGAUCCAAUCAAGUCUUGUCAAUAUCAAUGGAACUUAGGUGUUGAUAAGGCGAAAAACAUAAUCCACUAAAAUGGAUGAUUGAUCUUGACAAUGCCUUGAUUCAUCCCUUGACCUUUGUUUGGUUUCCUUGUGUGUGAUCCCUUAUUUGUGAUUGUUGCAUUCAUGCAUUCAUGCGCAUCAUAACAUUCAUCACACGAAAAAUAAUUUCAAGAAACUGAGGUCUUAUUUGUAACUAUUUUCAGACCAUGGAUUGUGGACGUAGGAACACUAAGAAGUACAGUUUUAGAAGUCCGGAUUUGAAAGAGUUAAGGAAGGUAUCAUCUUUUGUAUUAGGUCUCUUGGACUUCAAGCUACGUCAUGGGAAGCUUCUAUCUAUUUUGUGUGCUGAUGUGGUUGAAGGAAUUUUGAGUGUGUUGGUUCAGUUAUAUGACCCUCUCUACCGUUGCUUCACUUUUCCUGAUUAUCAGCUUGUGUCUACGUUGGAGGAGUAUUCCCGUCUGUUGGGAAUACUUGUUUCUGACAUAGUGCCUUUUAGUGGAUUGGAAGAGAUUCCCAGAUCUCAUCUUAUAGCUGAAGCUCUUCAUCUGAAGAAGUCUGAGAUAGAGGCUCAUUGGGUGAAGAAAGUAGGAUUAUUUGGGUUGACUUCUGAUUUCCUCAUCAAGGAAGCUACUGCCUUUGCUCAAGCCGGUAGUGUGGACGCUUUUGAAACCAUCUUUGUGCUGCUCAUCUAUGGAUUAGCUUUGUUCCCUAACAUUGACGGUUUUGUUUAUGUUAACGUCAUUAGAAUAUUCUUGAUUGGGAAUCAUGUGCCUACUCUUUUGGGUGAUAUGUACUUAUCUUUCCAUCUAAGGAAUUCUAAGGGUGGUGGAACUAUCGUCUUUGCGUUCCUCUUCUGUACAAGUGGUUUAUUUUGCACUUGUCUCAGACGCCUACUUUUGUGGAGAAUAAACAAUGUCUAAGGUGGUCUCAGAGACUUAUGUUUCUCACUAAUGAUGAUAUAGUUUGGUAUGAUUCUUCAUUGGGUAGCUUGGAGAUUAUUGACAGUUGUGGUGAAUUCUCUAAUGUACUUCUCAUUGGUACACAAGGAGGAAUCAACUAUAACUCUACUUUGGCUCGUCGUCAACUUGGAUUCCCCUUCAGAGAUAAACCUAAUAACACUUUGUUAGAAGGUCUUUUCUAUCAAGAGGGUAAAGAUCCCCAUCGUUUGAAGCAGAAUAUUAUGCAUGCUUGGCAUAAUGUGCAUAAGAAAGGAAGAUCCGAGCUUGGUCCGCGCAAUUGUGUAGCUUUGGAAGCUUACACUCUUUGGGUGAAGAAGAGAGCUUUGGAGUUGAAGAUGCCUUAUGCUUGUGAAAGACCUGUGUCUAUGGUUGUGGUUGAGCCAUUAACUCUCCCUAACCAAGAUGUAGUGGAGUUGGAAUACGCGCUCGCCAAGAUGAAGCAAGAGAAGGAUAGGUGGGAAGAUCGUUUCCAUGCUUUGAGUAGAAAGCAUGAGGAGUUGUAGCUUGAGUCUAAGGACAAAGAUGCACUUAUUGAGCUUCUUGAAGAUCGGGUAAUGAAGAGACAGAGAGAACUAGAGGGUCCAUCUUCCUCUAGUAUGUCUCAGCCUUCCAUCGCUUGGAAGAAGAUUGUUGAUCAACUUGUCCUUGAGAAGGCUCAGAUGAAGACUUCUUUUGAAUCCGAGAUUCGACGCAUUCGAAGGAAGUAAGCACCUACAGUUAGAUCUUCUAAUGUUGUUAUUAGGGAUCCUUAGAAUGACUAGUCUCCUUUUCUCUUGUAUUUUGUACUUUUGGAUUCUGAAAUUGUACUCAGUGUAAUCCUUCCAAUUAUAUAAAUAAAAGAGAUUUUUAUGGUCAAUCAAAUUGUUGCAAUCGUUUUUAUCAUAUAUAUUUGAAAAUAAUAUAGUAAGUUCCUUGGAAAAUAAAAACAAUCAAGCAUUGCAUUUCAUGCAUCAUUUGCAUACAGGUUUCUCUUCCGCCAGAUGUCUUAUUGGUAUUUCUUAUGUGCUUCAGCCAAGCUGACUCAUCGAUACAAUACUCGCGCAAAUCACUCAAGGAUCAUGGAACAUCUGGAGCAAGAGAACAGAGAUUUGAAGGACGAGAUCGCCCGCUUGACUGCCAUGAUGGAGUCAGUGUUAGCCGCUCAUAGCCAAUCUUCUCCAACACCUGCAACUCCUCCUCCUCAGAGGACUGUUAUUUCCGAGGUUGCUACCUCUAUCAUUCCUGCUACUGCUGCUCACUUUGCACCGGCCAUGUGUCGCAUCUCGAAAAAUACGAUUCCUCGCGAUGGUCGCGGAAAAAAUUAAUGUUCGAAUAGAGUUGCCAUCGAACUUAAUUUAUCCCAAUGAAGGGAUAGUAAAAUAUCGAUAAAACCUUUAGGAAAUGGAAUAAUGGUCGUCGCAACCAUAUUCGAGUUCGGGAGUGGAUUACGUAAGGGGAAGGUAUUAGCACCCCUUACGUCCGUUGUACUCAACGGGAACCUUUAAACCUUUAGGAAAUGGAAUAAUGGUCGUCGCAACCAUAUUCGAGUUCGGGAGUGGAUUACGUAAGGGGAAGGUAUUAGCACCCCUUACGUCCGUUGUACUCAACGGGAACCUUUUAGUUCUAAUGUGCGUUUCAUGUGUUAAUUUAUGUUUGUUUGUUAUUUUUGGGUUAUACAAUUGUAAAAAAUAGAAAUGGACGAGAACCUCAGAAAGGGAAAGGGGAGGUUUUUUAUUAGUGUGCUCGCGAAGGUACAACAAUCUCCUACCUACGUAUCCUUAUGGUAUAAUAAGGAAAUCAGAGCAUUCGUAGUUCGGGGAACUACGAUUGGUUGGUGUUUUUUAAUGAACAACUGUUUAGACUGCGUUUCUAAAGGCUAAACGUUGGCUUGUCUAGUCUCGGCGGAGGCUUAAGCACUAGUUUGCUGUGCGCAUUAGAAAGGAUUAACAAUGUUCUUUCUGAAAAUAGUUUUGGUCACAUGGGGGUGACAAGUUGGACUAAUAUGUUGGAUGUUUUGAUUGGUUGAGAUGUUUUUGGUUGAAUGACGAUUACUCUGAUAGUUGAGUAAGACAACUCGUAUCCUAACAGUCGGGAAAGGGAAUAGAAGACUCUAGACCACUUUCUUUUUCAUCCUUAAUUAUAGAAAGGAUUUGAUAAUAAUUAGGGUGUUUUGAGUGGAUGACGAAUACUCGGAUAAUCGAGUAAGACAACUCGUAUCCUAAUAAUCGGGAAAGGGAAUAGAAGACUCUAGACCGCUUUCUGUUUCAUUCUUAAUUAUAAAAAGGAUUUGAUAAUUGUAAGACCCCAAUUUUGACCCUAAGAUCCCUCAUGGCAUCAUUACAUUGCAUUUACAUUGCCUCAAGGAUCAUGAGCGUCUUGGUUCCCUUUGCCUUUGGGUGGGAUCUCUUGAGAUGUGGUUUGAGAUCACCAAGCAUGCUUGAAUUGUAUAUUAUUGCUUUCCUCAUUUCUUUUAUUAACUCAAAAGCACAAAAAUAUGUCACUAACAUCUUUUAUUUGUAGCUUGAGCAGUCACAAGGUCUAAAGCUUCUAGGAGAUCCUUUGUGCAAUGAUAUGGUCAAGAGAAGAUGAAAGCAAGCAUGGUAAUGGUUCCGAAAGCUCUCAUCCAUCAAAUAUGCCUCCCAAGUAUCUCAAUUCAUCAUUUUGAUCAAAGCAAGUCAAAGGGUUUGAGGUUUGUUUCCCAAGGAAACCUUAAUUCAUAUAUUCAUCAACUGUGCCUUGCUCUUGAAGAAACCUCAACCCAUGGUCAAAAAAAAAUCAAGGGAAGUUCUUUAAUUCAUCAUUUCAUGCAUUUUUGAACUUAUUUGAGUGUCCUCAAUCAUAAGUUCAUCAAGAUAUAAGUUUUGGACUUGAGAAGUUGAUCAGUCAAUUCAUCUGACCAUUUUGAAAUGCAUUGAGACCUAACUUUUUAUGUGUUAGUCCAAUGGAGAUGACCCCAAGAGAAAUAUUGUUAUUAAGGACAAUAUGAACAACUUUCAUGUUCAUCAAAAUUUAAUUUGAAGCUUGGAAGGUCAUCAUCCAUUCCAAGACAUUAUAGGUCAUUUUGACUGAAACCCUAAUUUUGGGUCAACUUCCCAAGGACCUAAGUCCUUCAUUUUUCAUGAUUUGGAGGUGGGAUCAAAUGAAUUGGAAAGCUUAAUGUUUGUAAUUCAAAUGUUAUGUUGAGAAAAAUUACAAAAUCCCAAAAGAAAUACAUGUGAUAAUGCAAAACAUUAUAGGUCACUUUGGGCCAACUGCAUUGAAAUGUGAAAAAGUCCAACUUCAAGUGCCCAUAACUUCAUCAAAAAUCCAAAUGAUGCAAAAUUUAAGUCCAAAUUUAUUUUCUUGAAAAUAUCUACAACUUUCAUGUUGAAGAUUGUAUUAUUUGGAGCUUGCAUCAUUGAGACAGAGGGGCUUGAACAUUGGCCAAUUUUGGAAAUUUCACAUAUGCAUGUUUUGCACCUUACACUUCAAGCUUAAUUUUCAUUAAUUUCCAAGGCCCAAUUGGAUUUUUGAUCAACAUAGCAUUUGUUCCUUAUGCAAUAAGCUUUCCAACCAUUACCCAUAAGCCUAUGUUUCAAUUUUGGAAGUAUUAUUUUCGAAGAGGAGAACUUUUUAGUGCAUUUUUGGAAACUUGAUUCAAUUGCCAUGCAUGAGCUCACACAACCUAAUUUGCACGUCCAUUUCAUUCAUUUAUGAUAUAAGCCUGCAAUUCCAAUCAGAAUUGGGCCCUCCAUGCGCCUGUACAGGCCCAUGCAUGAAGGCCCUCUUCUCCGAUGCACACUUUGUUCAUGCAUAUCAGUUGGCUUUGGCUAUAAAUACAUGGCAUGUGAGCUCUUAUUUCUUAACCUGAAGGCACCUGAACCUCUGCUGAACUCAAAACCUACCCUCACCAAAGGAACUUUUCUCUUUCUUUCAAAAAUAUCAGAUCUGAAAUUCAAUUGCAUCGAUUGAUUUUUAAGAUCCAUAGUUCCUAGACCUCUUCAGCUUGAUCCAUAGAAGCUUCUGUUUGCAAAAGAACUCAAAGAUAGUGACUCAAUUCAGCUCAAUUCCAAGGUUUUGCUCAACUGCAUUUUGCUUCAAAACAGCUCAUAUAUUGUUCCAUUUGCCUUGAUUUUGUGUGAUUUGAAGUCCUCUGCAUAGAGGCAUCAUUAUUGUGUUCUUAAUUUUUGAAAUCAAGCAAGUUCAGUUGAACACCACCAAAGUUCCAUCUCUGAUUUCUCUCUCAAUAGGGAUCUAGAGUGGAAUUGAGUAAUAGAGGCAUCAUUAUUGUGUUCUUAAUUUUUGAAAUCAAGCAAGUUCAGUUGAACACCACCAAAGUUCCAUCUCUGAUUUCUCUCUCAAUAGGGAUCUAGAGUGGAAUUGAGUGGCAUAGGAGUGACGUACAUCACUCCACCUUUCAUUUGGUACCUGGAUCGUGCGUUUUGGUGCACAUUUGUUCUUCUACAAAUUUGAGCUCUCACCGGAGCUAUCCGGAGAAGACGGUGGCGCUGACCCCUGUCUGGUCUCCAGAUCCAAUCGUGGUCGUCCAUUUUCAUUUCCAGAUUAGAUUUAGGUUGUCCGAUGUUAUGACCAUUUUUAAUUGUUUGUGUGGUUGCAUUGACUCACGUGUAUUAUGGAAGCGUGCUCAGAUCCGUCUGAUCUGCCAGGUCAAUUAAUGAACUGGAUCCAACGCCUCUCCUUUUUUCUUAUUUUUAAUUUCUGAUUUCUAUUUUCUUUUAUUUCUUUUAAUUCCAUUUUAUUUCUAAAAUCCAUAUCUCUUUCAUUAUUGGUCCAAAAAUUAUGGGACCAAUUGCAUUAUUUCUCUUUUAAUUUCUAGUUUCUAAAAAUGAUUUUUAAUAUUUUUUAUUUUGUCAUUUGCUAUUUUUUAAUAAUUUUCUCUUUUCUGGUUAUUUUUAAUUCAUUUUAAAUAGUUUUUCAGAUCCAAAAAAUACCAAAAUAUUUUCUCAACCUCUUUGAACGAUGAUAGAUCUAUGAAAAAUAUUUUCAUCAAUUUAUUAAUUGAUUUGAGAUUUAUUUGAGAUUUUAGUUCAAUUAGGUUAUUUUUAUGCAUUUUUAAUUGAUCAAAAAUAGUUUCUGACUUUUAUAAAUGUUGAAAUUUUUUGUCAAACUUUUUUUGACCUUGUUGAACUUAGGAUAAUUCACUUGGACUUUUCAAAGUUGAUUUGAAGUGAGUUUGAAGUUUGACCUUUCUUUAAUAUUUUAAUUCAAGUUUUAUUUUAAAUAUUAAAAAAUGCCAAAAAUAUUUUGUUUAUUUCUUGACUUCUAAUCUUCAUUUUGCUUCUGUUUUCUAUUGUUUGACCUUGAUCUUCUCUAUCUUUGGUCAUAGCUUGUUGAUUAUCUCAUUCCAUUUCAUUUAAUGCACUUUAAUUCUUCAUGUCUAUUCUUNAGAUUGUUGGCGAACACUUGCCUACGUACCUCUUAAACAAGAUUAGGAUCAAAACCGUCUGUAGUUGGCGUAAAAAUUCAAAAUUGAGUUGGUGAAUUGAUUUGGUCCGAAAGCACUUAAAGGUACUUUUUGUGUUGAUCCAAGGGAGAAAAACUCAAACCUAAAACACAACCCACCAUGUGCAGGAUUAGCUUAACAUGUUAUGAGGGGGUUUAACCCUAUACGAUAAGCAUGGAAGACACAUUGUCCAUCACUAAGGAUAUAGGUGAGUAUUACGAGUCCUAACCUCAAAGCAUAACUCAAGAGCCUGAAUACGCUAAAGGUUUAAAAGAUUUAAUUAAGAAAGUGGCCAUUGAAACCACAAAAGUAUUUGAAUGAUGGUAUUUACGCAAAUGAAUAAGAUAUUUGACAAAAUAUGGUCAAAGGUGAUUUAGAAGUUCAAUUCAAAAAUAAGUGUUAUGAAAAAAGUUUGGGAAAAUCAAAAAAAGCCAUAAGGCUUAGGUUUCCUAAAUGUUGAAAACAAGGUUAAAUGUUGCAAACAAAAGUUUUGGUUUGGGUUUAGAAGGGAGAAGAAGAAUGAAUGGCAAAGUCCUAAUCAUACAUGAAGAGACAAGGGAUAAGAAAACAAGACCAACAAAUGGAGUUCCCUCUCUUUGACGAUCGAUAUUGAUGAAAUCAAGUAGCUCCCAUCUUGGAAUAUGCAAGCAAAAAUUUAAUAGUCGCUCAAGCAAUCAACACAUCAAACAAGCUCCUUAGGCGAAUCCUCAAUGUAUCUGGUUGUAUCUUUCACUUGGAUGAACAUUGGCAAUGGUUCCUUUUAACUCUUGAGCUCUCAUAGGAUCCCCUAGCACAAAAAGCACACACAUCAAAAAGUUCUAUGAAAGUAAAUCAAGAAUGGAACAAGAGUGUUGAGUUUGGGUCCUUCUAGUCCAUCUCAACAUUAAAGGUCCUUGUUACUCCAAUUUGCCAUAGGAAAGUUCUAGAAACUAAGUCGCAUUUGUCCAUAUUCUUUGCAUUUGGUCCACAAACAAUCAAAACAAAAACACAAGCACAAUUAAUUAUACUACACAAUUACGUGUGCUCAAAGUGAGCAAGAAGCAAUUGCAUUAAACAUACAUGUGCUAAAUGAGCAGAAGGGAAAAGAAAUGAUAUAUGUAAGAUAUAGUUAAAUUGAUAAAGUAAGUGCAAGAGUAAAUGUUAAUGGUUAAUUGUUAGUGUUAGUAGUUCAGGUGUCAUAGGCAUUUAAGCGCUAUGUUAAGCAAAUCGUAAUGGAGUUAUUGUGAAGUCACACUAUCUGAGGCGGUUAAUAGUAUAUUUAUGGCAACACAACAAGGUUAGAGGUCUUGAUUGUGAAUCAACACUCUACAACUUGCCAUGGCGCAGAAAGAAGAUGAGAAUGAUCUUGUUUGGUUUAGGUCCUUUUGCAUGUUUUAGAAAGCAAUCUUCCGUUAAUGGAAAGCCAUUCACUUUGAUCAUGUGAUCAAGUGAUUAGAUUUGAAUUCAAGGAAGAUUAAAACCUCCCUAUCAAUGCUAACCAUCGAACCUUUAACUCAUUGAUAAAAAAAGAAAAGAAGAAGAGAAGAAGAUGAAGAAAGUGAAAGAUAGCAUGAAGAAUUAAAGUGCAGCUUAAAUGAUCUCUUGUAUGAUUAGGACUUUAGCCAUUCUUCUUCUUCCCUCCACUCUAACCCAAACCAAAACUUUUGUGCAAACAUUUAACACUUGUUUUCAAACAUUAGAAACCUAAGCCUUAUGCUUUUGAUUUCCAAACUUUCUUUUCAUAACACUUAUUUUGAAUUGAACUUCUAAAUCAACUUUGACCAUAUUUUGUAAAUACUUUUCAUUGGUAAAUACCAUUCAUUCAAAUACUUUUGUGGUUUCAAUGGCCACUUUCUUAAUUAAAUCUUUUAUAACCUUUAGCUAUUAGGUUUGAGUUAUGCUUGAGGUAGAUGUAAUACUCACCUAUAUCCUUAGUGAUGGACAAUGAGUCUUCCAUGCUUAUUAUAGGGUUAACCCCUCACUAACAUGUUGAAGCUAUCCUCACAUGGUGGGUUUGUGGUUUUAGGUUGAGUUUUCUCCCUUGGAUAACAAAAGACCUUAAGGCUUUUGGACCAAUCAAUUCACCAACUCAUUUUUUGAAAUUUUUACCCCAAACUACGAGGUUUUGAUCCUAAUCUUUUUUAAGAUGGUACGUAGGCAAUGGGUUUAUCCAUCCAAACACAAAAAUGUAAAUAACUUGCAUAUUCUCUUCUCAUCUCUUCAAUCAUGUUUGCACAAACAAAUUUUCACAAAAUACCAACCUUACAACAAGUGUGAAAAGGGCUCCCUAGGAGUACCUAGGAUGUUUUGGGUGCUUAAAACCUUCCCAUUGCAUAACCAACCCCCUUACCCCGAUCUCUGACAUUUUUACUAGUUUUUAAUUCGAUAAAAUUUUUAGGUUUUUAUUCGCUUUCUAACCAUUCCUUUGAAUAAAUAGAAGUGCGGUGGCGACUCGACUUGUAUGGUUUACCUUAGAUUUAGUCAAUAUCUCUAAUGGUAACGAAUACCCCACUACAAUAAUAAUUAAGGUGUUUUGAAUGGAUGACGAUUACUCGGAUAAUCGAGUAAGACAACUCGUAUCCUAAUGGUCGGAAAAGGGAAUAGAAAACUCUAGACCACUUUCUCUUUCAUCUGAGUGGUUAUGAAAAUAAGUUUACGUAUGGUUGAUGUAUUUUUAGAAUAGACGACAAGUACUUGAAUGGUUGAGUAAGACAACUCAUAUCCAAGCAUUUGAGGAGAGGAAUCUAAGGCUCAAGACCAUCUCCCUUUUCGUAUAGUUUGUUAUGAAAAUGAUUUGAUUAAGUUGUAUGUUUGUGGAAAAAUGACAAUUGCUCGACUGGCCGAGUAAGAGAACUCGUAUUCAAGCAAUUGAGGAGAAAAGUUGAAAACUCAAAGUCAUCUCCCUUUUCAUUUCUUAUUAUGAAAAUAAUUUGAUUUAGUCGGGUUUGGAAGUUUGUAGAGGAACGACAAUUAUUUGACUAACCAAGUAAGAGAACUCGUAUUCAAAUAAUCGAGGAGAAAAAUUGAAGACUCAAAGUCAUCUCCCUUUUCCUUUCUUAUUAUAAAAGAGUUUGAUUUAUUUGUUCUUAAGUGGGUGGAAGUGACGACUAUUUGACUAACCGAAUAAGAGAACUCGUAUUCAAAUAAUCGAGGAGAGGAAUUGAAAACUCAAAGCCACCCCCCUUUUCAUUUCCAAAUGAAAUGUUGUUUGAUUGUGAUUGGAUACGUUCUUUUAAUUUUUAAUGAAAAUACUCGACAUUGGAUUGAGGUUUUGAUUUUGUGUUUAUGAAUGAAAUGAAUUUUAUUUUAGUGUAUUAUUCUUCUACUCGAUUAAUUAAUAACUGGAUAGGUCUCAUUGUAAGAAAGCCCAAGAGUAAGCUAUGUGAGGUUGAUGGCGAUACUUUUACAAGUAAUCGACUUACAAAGGCGUUUUGAAAAUGGGCUCGACUUUGAAUCGAGAAGUAUGUGUUUUAUUUUUUUGAAAUUGGCUCGAAUGAUUUUAAAUUGGUGAUAACGACAUAAUCUCGUCAUAAUUAUAACAUGUCAUCCAUAUGCACUCGAGACUCGGUAUAAAUAAAUAAAUACAAAAUAAUCAUGCACAUACACUCCACAAAAAUCAACAAUUAUCUAAAUUAUAAGUGAUAUUAAUAAUAAUAUAAUUAAUUAAUUAAAUAUUUAGUAGAUUAUUUUGAUUAAAUAAUAAGUAAUUAAAAAAAUGAUGAUAUAACCAAAUAAUUGCAUAUUUAUCAUUAAAUAUUAAUAAUAGUAAUAACAAUAUAAUUGUGUAUUUACUAUUAAGUACUAAUAAUAAUAAUGAUAAUAAUAAUAAUAAUAUAUAAUUAUAACUUUGAAAGAAAGUAAAUAAAAUAAAAUAAAUGAAAUUAAAGUAAAAAAAUAUUUAAAUUUUGUAAAAUAAUUAAACAACUAUCAUUAGGAAUUAAACUAUUAUAUAUAUAUAUAUAUAUAUAUAUAUAUAUAUAUAUAUAUAUAUAUAUUAUAAGUAUAUAUGUAAAAAAUAUAAAUAAAAAAGAAAGAAUAAGUCAAAAAAUAAAGAAAAUGGGCUAGUGGUGGUGAAAAAUUAAUAAAAUAAUUUAAUCAAAUUAAAUCAAAGAUACCGAUGAAUUAAUUUAAAUAAAAUAGGGUCUACUUAGGAUAUUUAAGUAAUUUAGAUUAACAAAAAUAAUUCAGGAUAAUGAGUCAUUAAAUUAAAAAAAUUAGUAAAUUGAAUUGUUAGUUAACUAAUUGAAGCUAAUUGUUAGCUAACAUGAUUAUCUUUUAAAUCCUCCACACAGUAAAACAGAAGAAAAAGAAAUGGGCUAAAACCGAAUUUAAUGAAAAAUAGGAAUAAACAAAUGUGCUUUUUUUGACUGAACAUAUGCUAUAUUCUAAUAUGCAAUGUCACCUAGUAUUCAAAGUUAAUUUAUUGUUUUUUAUUAAUGAUGCAUUGAAUAAAAUAACAAAUAGGGGUGGCUGUCAGCAUAGCCCACACGGUAUCCCCAAGAAAAAUCAAUUACUCACCAUAAGAACCUUCCAUAUACUAACAUAUGACACCUAAUGAUGUUUAAAGAGAAAUAAACAAUAAUAAAUGAAAAUUAAAGUAAUGCUUGGAUAUUUUAAAAAACGUAAGGACGAAAAACGUUCCUUCACAAAACCAAUGCACCUCUUUCUUAAUCUAACACCCUUUCCUCCUAUCCAUUUCUUCUCUCCAAAAGGGUUUAUGAAAAAAAAGUUCAGUUCACCAUCAAGUUUAUCGCACAACAAAAAUAUUCAAACACAAAGAUCUACCUCAAACGAUACAAAACCCCAAAUCUCAAAAUUAGCAACGAAAUUUUGCAAACAAAAGUUUAUCGCACAACAAAAAUAUUCAAACACAAAGAUCUACCUCAAACGAUACAAAACCCCAAAUCUCAAAAUUAGCAACGAAAUUUUGCAAACAACCUCCAAAAGACCCAAAUCGUGACUUUACAAAAAAAAAACUAAAAAUUGAAACAAAUCGAACCAUCAUCAUCAAUAAAUUCAAGCAAUCUAAAGGAGGCUCCUACUCAGUUAAUCACGACAAACAUGCAGGCACAAUCAAUUUGGAUCCAAACAUGAAGAAAUUUACCUGACCGAAGCUAGUUCAACGAAGUUCUCUCCGGCAACCCUCAGAUAACUCUAUUUCCUCUUCUUUUCGGUUUUACGAUGGCCUCCUCCUUCUGUUUUGAUGUUGUGUUAUCCUUUAAUGUUAGGGUUUUUUGUGUUUUUUACAAAAUAUUUUUUGAUUUGUUCUGCUCGGAUCCUCAAAAACGUGUGUUCUGUUUCUUUUGAGUUAACAAAGAAAAGAUUACUUUGACAAUUUCUUCUGGAUUUUAUUAAAACGUGUUACUGUUAAUUAGUUUUGUGGUUUAUAUACAUGAAUGUUGGUUUAUGUGAUAUAACUUGUUGGAUCCUAUUUCCAGAUUUUGUGGUAUGAUUAAUCUAUGGAUUUAAAGUUGUUUAUUUGGAUAAUGCAGUGUGUUUCUGAGCGCUUCCUUUGAUUCAUUGUGUAACAUAUUAAUUUGCUCUUUCUAUUAAUUAUUUUCCAGGUUUUUAAGUGCUUAUUUGAUAAGAUGUUUUUAAUUUUGAAUUGGUUUUGCAGGUUAAGUGAUAUUGAUGCUGAUUGAUUGAAAAAGGGGCGCUGUUAUUCAACAGGUUUUGGAAAAGUUCUGAAGAGUUGCUUUUGAAUUGGGAACUUCCAAAAGAGCUUUUGGAAAAGUCUGUGAAAUUUGCUUCAAACUGCUGUGUUUACAGCUUAUUCCAAUUUUUUUAAUAAAAUUAUUUCUGAUGUAACAGAGACUUUUUGGAUUAUGAACUUAGGGACUGCUUGUAACAUGUACAAAUUUAAUUUGGAAUUUCUCUUUUUGGACAAUUAUGUAAUUGUUUUGGAUUAUUAGGAAUUUGGGAUUAGUUAGGAUAUAUUAAACUGUAAGAAAAAUUGGGUUAGACGUGUAACCCUUUGGAUCAUUUGCAAAAUUUACAUAAUUUUAAUUUAAGUUUUUUUGUUAUUUAUGUGGAUACUUUUGGGUUAUUAUGUAACAUUUGGAUUAAAUAGGAAUAUGAUUUGGGAAUAUUAUUUGUGUAAUUAGUCUCUCUUUCUUUUUUUUUUAAAGAAAAAUUAAACUUUGUCUUAAC